AUUGAACGCUGGCGGCAUGCCUUACACAUGCAAGUCGAACGGCAGCACGGGGGCAACCCUGGUGGCGAGUGGCGAACGGGUGAGUAAUGCAUCGGAACGUGCCCAGUAGUGGGGGAUAACCCGGCGAAAGCCGGGCUAAUACCGCAUACGACCCAAGGGUGAAAGCGGGGGACCGUAAGGCCUCGCGCUAUUGGAGCGGCCGAUGUCUGAUUAGCUAGUUGGCGGGGUAAGAGCCCACCAAGGCGACGAUCAGUAGCUGGUCUGAGAGGACGACCAGCCACGCGGGGACUGGGACACGGCCCAGACUCCUACGGGAGGCAGCAGUGGGGAAUUUUGGACAAUGGGCGCAAGCCUGAGCCAGCCAUGCCGCGUGCGGGAAGAAGGCCUUCGGGUUGUAAACCGCUUUUGGCAGGAACGAAACGGCGCAAGCCAAUACCUUGCGCUAAUGACGGUACCUGCAGAAUAAGCACCGGCUAACUACGUGCCAGCAGCCGCCGUAA
rnacentral:rRNA from 1 species